rnacentral:rRNA from 1 species
AACGAACGCUGGCGGCGCGCUUAACACAUGCAAGUCGAACGAGAAGGCGUAGCAAUACGCUUGUAUAGUGGCGAACGGGUGAGGAAUACGUGGGUGACCUACCCUCGAGUGGGGAAUAACCCGCCGAAAGGCGGGCUAAUGCCGCGUACGCUUCCGUCCUCGCGGGGACGGAAGGAAAGUCAUGCCGUGGGCAUGGCGCUCAAGGAUGGGCUCACGUCCUAUCAGCUUGUUGGAGGGUAACGGCCUACCAAGGCUCCGACGGGUAGCUGGUCUGAGAGGACGAUCAGCCACACUGGCACUGCGACACGGGCCAGACUCCUACGGGAGGCAGCAGUGAGGAAUAUUGCGCAAUGGGCGAAAGCCUGACGCAGCGACGCCGCGUGGGGGAUGAAGGUCUUCGGAUUGUAAACCCCUUUCGGG